UGAAGCGGCCGAGGCCCGCGAUUGGCGGGUGAGGAAACCUUUGGUUGGAAACAGUUGCUCUGCGCCCCGCAGUGCGGACCCCUCAGGGUUGACUUGGGGGGGCUUCCUAGCGCGGUGUCCGGGCCAGAAUUACUGGUACAGUGACCUGGAGAUAAGGCCUUCGCCUCUGGAAAAAGCUCAGGACUCAGUGCUUCCGAAUUCAGGGUGCACUGCAAACAGGAUUGAAGCUCAUUUGAUGCUCAAAAUAUGAUCUCCAAGCACAGUUAUGGAGCUUCUUCCAUGUACCAGGUGACCCCUGUGAAAGGAGCCUGGGUCCCUGAAAGAUUGCUGGACUGAGUCCUUUCUCAUGCCCUCUGACAACAGGACAUGGAAGACAGGAGCAUUGACUUGGUCUGUCUGCUGCUGGAGAGGAGAACUGUGAGGUCAGGUCCUGGGUGUCACUUGCUCAGCACUCUACCUCUGGGACCUGCGUUUGAAUAACAUCGUCUCACAGUGAAAUGAAACCUCCGUGUUCCCUCCCGCUCCCCGCACCCCAUGCAGCUCAGCCAUAUGGAAACAGCAGUAAACAAAAUCACCAGCGUGUCUCAAACCCGAAGGCAGGACAGUGAGUUGGCAGCAGCCUGAAGGGGAGAGAAGAAACCCAACCUCUUCAGAUCUUAGGAUUUAGCUUCUUAUCUGCUGGAUCCUGGGGGCAGGAUGGAGAAAGAGCCGGAAUGUCCUAAGGCACCAACCACAUCCUGGACCAUACUGCAGACACCACUGGGCCAACCAGUCGCUGCUCAGAGAGUGCUGUGCCCUCCUUCCCCCCUGGCACGCAGCCCGGCCACAUGCCUGGAGCUUCCGGUUCUUCCUGAACACACAGAAGCACCUCAGUGGUUAUGGGAUCUGGCAACUGCACGUUCAGGUCCUGGCAGCCUUCCACAAGCAACUCAGCUGAGUAGUAGGGAAACAGCAUGUGGAAACUAGCAGAUUAUUCUCUCACUUCUCCUCCAUGACUGACACCCUACCUUCUUACAGUUGAAUGAUGCCCAGUGGGAGAAUCGCAUCCUCAUAAAUCAUAGUCAAAGAGAACAUAUUCUCUUAAGGAUGCAGUAGUUUCCAACUGUGGUUUUUACUACAUAUGGCGGUUUCCCUCUGUUGGACCAUAGCUCUGAGGUGGCGUGGAAGUCAAUGAGAACACUUGACCUUCACUUCGACCUGUUGGAGUCAGGCUGCAGCCAGGAAUACUGCUAAUUGACUGCUUUUCAAUCCAACGGCUCAUAUGAGAUGGACCAAGAGCACUUAGCUGUUAUAAACCAGCAUUGAAUUUGGCUUCUUUUCACCUCCAGCCACCAAGCAGCUGUCAGGAGCCACUGACUUCAAGUCAAUUGCUGGGCCUCAAAUUUAUUGGAUUUGCCUUUUUUGAUGUGGCAAGCUGCCAUGUCAG